rnacentral:rRNA from 1 species
UUCGCAAUGCCCGAAAGGGUGACGAAGCGACGCCGCGUGUGGGAAGAAGGCCUUCGGGUUGUAAACCACUGUCGGGAGUUAGGAAAUGUAAGGGUGCUAAUAGUAUCCUUACUUGACUAAGGCUCCGGAGGAAGCCACGGCUAACUCUGUGCCAGCAGCCGCGGUAAUACAGAGGCGGCAAGCGUUGUUCGGAAUUAUUGGGCGUAAAGAGCACGUAGGCGGCCUUGUAAGUCAGUUGUGAAAGCCUUCUGCUUAACGGAAGAACAGCAGCUGAUACUGCAAGGCUAGAGUGCGGAAGGGGAGAGUGGAACUUCUGGUGGAGCGGUGAAAUGCGUAGAUAUCAGAAGGAACACCGGCGGCGAAGGCGACUCUCUGGUCCGUAACUGACGCUGAGUGUGCGAAAGCUAGGGGAGCAAACGGGAUUAGAUACCCCGGUAGUCCUAGCCGUAGAC